rnacentral:lncRNA from 1 species
UUGAGUUUUACAGGGUUUAUCUCCCACCCUUUGGGGUGCAUAUUUCUUACCAAAGCCUCCAAUCUAUUUGCUACCUCUUGCUCGUGUGUAUGGAUCACCAUGAUGGUGCUGAUUUGGUGGAUUAAUGUGAUGUUCUGUGGAAUGUCCAACUGGUCUCAUUCCCUUGUACUAUGGGAUGACAGAGGGUAGGGCAAUUAAUGCAGCCCUGGGGACAGACUUUAAGUGAACGUAAUGUGCCUCUGAUCCUUCUUCCAGCUAGAAAUGAAAGAGAACGCAGGUUUACCAGCACACUCCUGGACAGGACACUUGGUCAGCACCAAUACUUGCAAUCCCUCCCUCAUUCCAACCUCUAACCACUGCCUCCUAUCCUGAUAAUAUCCUGCUUUCUAUUAAUUACUUGACCUACAAUCUAUUUAUGUGACUAACGUUUCACGAUUUCUCUCCAUUUGCAUGUCAUCACUUCAUUCCUUGCCCAGCUUAAAUGGUUUCAGCAUUAUAUCAGUCCUUGCAUAUACCCUUGAUAUCCUUGUCUUUCUUCUAACUCUGCCUUCUGCACACCUGCUUUAUGCACCAGAACAUGACUCUAGAGAAUCAUGGAACAUGUUGAAAUUCUCACUUUAAAUUCAUAAUCACUAAUCCCAAGCUGGACCUUAGUGCUGCCCAGAAAUCCUACCACCUUCAAUUGUAUUAAUAUUUUCACUCUCCUUAUCCUCUUCCUCCAAAUUUAUAGCACUUUCCCCCUUCUUAUUCUCCUUUUUUCACUUCACUGAGAAAAAAAAAAGCUAGCAGAAGAGAAUUCUGUCAUCUCCCAUCCACACAUCUACUCACUUACUGGAUCUGGAUCCUAUACCAGAUUCCAUCCCCUUUCAUUACCGCAAGAUGUUAUGUAAGCCUCCCUUCUCUUCUGCUUCAUCAUUCCAGUCUUCUUUCUUCUAGACCAUUCUUUUUGUUGUUGUUGUUGUUGUUGUUGUUUUUAAAAGAAUCAUUGAAAUAGCUGUCUGUAUUGUUUUCCUAUCUU